AACGAACGCUGGCGGCAGGCUUAACACAUGCAAGUCGAGCGCCCCGCAAGGGGUGCGGCAGACGGGUGAGUAACGCGUGGUAAUCUACCCAUCUCUACGGAAUAACGCAUGGGAACGUGUGCUACUACCGUAUACGUACUUCGGGAUACAGUCGUAUCGGAAAUGGAUGAGCCCGCGUGGGACUAGCUAGUCGGUGGGGUAAAGGCCUACCAAGGCGACGAUCCAUAGCUGGGCUGGGAGGAUGAUCAGCCACACUGGGACGGAGACACGGCCGAGACUCCUACGGGAGGCAGCAGUGGGGAGUAUUGGACAAUGGGCGUAAGCCUGAUCCAGCCAUGCCGCGUGGGUGAUGAAGGCCCUAGGGUUGUAAAGCGCUUUCACCGGUGAAGAUAAUGACGGUAACCGGAGAAGAAGCACCGGCUAACUUCGUGCCAGCCGCCGCGGUAAUAC
rnacentral:rRNA from 1 species